UUCCGCGUGUGUGAAGAAGGCCUUCGGGUUGUAAAGCACUUUANUGAGGGAAGAAACAGCUUGGCCACACCAAGCCUUGACGGUACCUCAAGAAUAAGCACCGGCUAACUCUGUGCCAGCAGCCGCGGUAAUACAGAGGGUGCAAGCGUUAAUCGGAUUUACUGGGCGUAAAGGGUGCGUAGGUGGUUGUAUAAGUCGGAUGUGAAAGCCCGGGGCUUAACCUCGGAACUGCAUUCGAUACUGUAUGACUAGAGUUCGGUAGAGGGCGGCGGAAUUUCCGGUGUAGCGGUGAAAUGCGUAGAUAUCGGAAGGAACAUCAAUGGCGAAGGCAGCCGCCUGGGCCUGAACUGACACUGAGGCACGAAAGCGUGGGUAGCAAACAGGAUUAGAUACCCUGGUAGUCCACGCUGUAAACGAUGAGAACUUGACGUUGGUUCGUUUUACGAAUCGGUGUCGAAGCUAACGCGCUAAGUUCUCCGNCUGGGGAGUACGGCCGCAAGGUUGAAACUCCAAGGAAUUGACGGGGGCCCGCACAAGCGGUGGAGUAUGCGGNUUAAUUCGAUGCCACGCGAAGAAACUUUACUGGUCCUGGACAUCUACGGAAUCUUUCCGAGAUUAGAGAGUGCCUUUGGGAACCGUA
rnacentral:rRNA from 1 species